CACCAGACUCCUACGGGAGGCAGCAGUGGGGAAUAUUGCACAAUGGGGGAAACCCUGAUGCAGCGACGCCGCGUGAGCGAUGAAGUAUUUCGGUAUGUAAAGCUCUAUCAGCAGGGAAGAAGAUGACGGUACCUGACUAAGAAGCCCCGGCUAACUACGUGCCAGCAGCCGCGGUAAUACGUAGGGGGCAAGCGUUAUCCGGAUUUACUGGGUGUAAAGGGAGCGUAGACGGCGAUGCAAGCCAGAUGUGAAAGCCCGGGGCUCAACCCCGGGACUGCAUUUGGAACUGUGUGGCUGGAGUGUCGGAGAGGCAGGCGGAAUUCCUAGUGUAGCGGUGAAAUGCGUAGAUAUUAGGAGGAACACCAGUGGCGAAGGCGGCCUGCUGGACGAUGACUGACGUUGAGGCUCGAAAGCGUGGGGAGCAAACAGGAUUAGAUACCCGGGUAA
rnacentral:rRNA from 1 species